rnacentral:rRNA from 1 species
UACGUAGGGCGCAAGCGUUGUCCGGAAUUAUUGGGCGUAAAGAGCUCGUAGGCGGCUUGUCACGUCGGUUGUGAAAGCCCGGGGCUUAACCCCGGGUCUGCAGUCGAUACGGGCAGGCUAGAGUGUGGUAGGGGAGAUCGGAAUUCCUGGUGUAGCGGUGAAAUGCGCGGAUAUCAGGAGGAACACCGGUGGCGAAGGCGGGUCUCUGGGCCGAUACUGACGCUGAGGAGCGAAAGCGUGGGGAGCGAACAGG